rnacentral:rRNA from 1 species
UACGUAGGGUGCAAGCGUUGUCCGGAAUUAUUGGGCGUAAAGGGCGCGUAGGCGGCGCUUCAAGUCGCGUGUGAAAGCCCCGGGCUCAACCUGGGAGGUGCGCCGCGAGACUGUGGUGGCUGGAGUUCGGGAGAUGGGAGCGUGGAAGUUCCCAAGUCGUAGAGGUGGAAUUCGAUUAGAUAUUGGGUAAGGAAACAACCG